UACAUGGCUUUUAUUGAAGCCACACAUCUAUCAUAAAUGGUUUAAU
rfam:Xenopus tropicalis strain Nigerian Chr08_contig_2545, whole genome shotgun sequence.